AUCAGUCGAGUGAGCAUCUCCGACACGGAAACAACUGCAGCGCACUCUCCAUCUGCGUUCUUCACCGUAUUGCCAGUUCGCAACCAUGGUUAACUAAGUCGUCGUAUGCUGUUGGGUGUUGUAUCGUUGAUUGGUGGUUCGACCAUUGGUGUACAGAUGUCUCCUGGGGUAUGGCGGAAGCCAAACCACAACGCUGCCGCCUUACUACACAACAACAACAUACGCAACAACCGGUUCCUACACCACCAAGGCUCCAGAGUAUUACACCACAAUUGAUGAUGCCCCGAGCUGCUACACCGAAUCCCGAAGUAUAACUCUGCCCCGAGUUACAUCACCAGAGAGCUGGAUUACUACACCGAGGCUCCCAAGUACUACAUCACUAAAGCACCGGAGUUUUAUACAACAACUUUCGCUGCCCCGAGUCACUAUACUGACGCCCUGAAGUAUUACUCUGCCCCGAGUUACUACACCACCAAGGCGACGGAGUACUACACGACUACGUAUGCUGCCCCUGCCUACUACACCGAGGCCCCGCAUUACUACAACACCGAAGCGUUCAAGUACUACACUACAACCUGCGCUGCCCCGAGCUAUUACACCUACGUCCCGAAUUAUUACUGUGCGUAAAGGAGUCGUCAAAAAAAGAAGUCGUGCCCGAACUGCAGUGCAUUAUCUGUCAACAACUGCAUUCCUCCAACCAUUCGCAAUUAUGGGCGUCGUAUGCUGUUGGGUGUUGUAUCGUUGAUAGUUGGGUCGACCACUGGUGUACCGAUGUCUCCUGGGCAUGGCGCAAACCAAUCCGCAACGCCACCGCCUUCCUACACAACUUACGCAACGACCGGUUCCUGCACUGAGGUCUUCCAGUACUACACCACUGAAGCACCGGAGUUUUAUAUCACAACUUACGCUGCCCCGAGCCACUACACUGACGCCGUGAAGUAUAACUCUGCCCCGAGUUACUACACCAUCUAGGCGACGGAGUACUACAUGACUACGUAUGCUGCCUAUCCUACUACACCCAGGCUCCUAAGUUCCCGCUUAUUACUCCACCAAAACAGCCGAGUACUACACCGAAGUACUACUCUACCCCAAUCUACACAACGCAGUCCCGACUUGCUACGCAGAAGCUGCUCUUUCGUGCUACGUCGAAGUGAAACACAACACUGAUGCUCCAGUCUACUACACCACGACCUACGCUACACCUAGCUACAACACCGCAGCCCCAAGUACUACACCGAAAAAGCCGCCCAUUACACAACCACAGACGCUGCCUGGUAUAACACAUCGAGGAAUUUAAGUAUUACCCUGCUCCAAACUACUACCAUCUGAGGUUCAUAUGUAUUAAACCAGCCAUUCUCCCAACUAUGUCACCACUACUCAUGUUGCUCAUACCUAUACAUCGAAGUUCUGAAAUAUUUCUCUGGAUGUGUUGAAAGAUUGCUGAAAUACAAGUUUGAUUGAUAAA